GUUUUGCUCUCUACAGCACAUACUAAAACUGAAAUGAUACUGAGAAGAUUAACAUGGCCCCUAAACAAGAAUGACACGAAAAUUUGUGAAGCAUUCCAUAUUUUU
ensembl:snRNA U6 U6 spliceosomal RNA